GACCAGCACCUCAAACCUCCCUCCCCUGGGAUUGCCAGCAAGGCUGGUGCCACAAGUGCCACUGGCUCACCUCUCUUGUGUCUCUGGCUUGGCAACUGCUUAAAAUUAGGAAUAAACUGAUGAAUAAGG